ACGCUGGCGGCAGGCCUAACACAUGCAAGUCGAGCGGUAGAGAGAAGCUUGCUUCUCUUGAGAGCGGCGGACGGGUGAGUAAUGCCUAGGAAUCUGCCUGGUAGUGGGGGAUAACGUCCGGAAACGGACGCUAAUACCGCAUACGUCCUACGGGAGAAAGCAGGGGACCUUCGGGCCUUGCGCUAUCAGAUGAGCCUAGGUCGGAUUAGCUAGUUGGUGGGGUAAUGGCUCACCAAGGCGACGAUCCGUAACUGGUCUGAGAGGAUGAUCAGUCACACUGGAACUGAGGCACGGUCCAGACUCCUACGGGAGGCAGCAGUGGGGAAUAUUGGACAAUGGGCGAAAGCCUGAUCCAGCCAUGCCGCGUGUGUGAAGAAGGUCUUCGGAUUGUAAAGCACUUUAAGUUGGGAGGAAGGGCAGUUACUUAAUACGUGAUUGUUUUGACGUUACCGACAGAAUAAGCACCGGCUAACUCUGUGCCAGCAGCCGCGGUAAUACAGAGGGUGCAAGCGUUAAUCGGAAUUACUGGGCGUAAAGCGCGCGUAGGUGGUUCGUUAAGUUGGAUGUGAAAUCCCCGGGCUCAACCUGGGAACUGCAUUCAAAACUGACGAGCUAGAGUAUGGUAGAGGGUGGUGGAAUUUCCUGUGUAGCGGUGAAAUGCGUAGAUAUAGGAAGGAACACCAGUGGCGAAGGCGACCACCUGGACUGAUACUGACACUGAGGUGCGAAAGCGUGGGGAGCAAAC
rnacentral:rRNA from 1 species